rnacentral:rRNA from 1 species
UUACAGAGUUGCAAAACUCCCAACCAUUGUGAACCUACCUCACCGUUGCUUCGGCGGGUGGCCCCCACCCGGGCCGCGCCGGCCCCACCCUGGCCGGCAACCCGUCAGAGGACCGAAACCCUUCGUAAUCACUGGCCUCUCUGAGUAACUUAUACAAUAAGUCAAAACUUUCAACAACGGAUCUCUUGGUUCUGGCAUCGAUGAAGAACGCAGCGAAAUGCGAUACGUAAUGUGAAUUGCAGAUUUCAGUGAAUCAUCGAAUCUUUGAACGCACAUUGCGCCCGCCAGUAUUCUGGCGGGCAUGCCUGUUCGAGCGUCAUUUCAACCAUCAAGCGCCCCGCUUGUGUUGGGGCCCUGCGGCCGCCGCAGACCCCUAAAUCCAGUGGCGGGCUCGUCGUCGUACCGAGUGCAGUAAACAUCCUCGCUCAGGGCACGCGCCGGGUCCCUUGCCGUGAAACACCCCCCAUAUCAAGGUUGACCUCGGAUCAGGUAGGAAUACCCGCUGAACUUAAGCAUAUCAAUAAGCGGAGGAAAAGAAACCAACAGGGAUUGCCCCAGUAACGGCGAGUGAAGCGGCAACAGCUCAAAUUUGAAAUCUGGCCUCGGCCCGAGUUGUAAUUUGCAGAGGAAGCUUCUGGUGCGGCGCCGUCCGAGUCUCCUGGAACGGAGCGCCAUAGAGGGUGAGAGCCCCGUAUGGACGGAUGCCAAACCUGUGUGAAGCUCCUUCGACGAGUCGAGUAGUUUGGGAAUGCUGCUCUAAAUGGGAGG